rnacentral:rRNA from 1 species
UACGGAGGGGGCUAGUGUUGUUCGGAAUUACUGGGCGUAAAGCGCGCGUAGGCGGCUUAGCAAGUUAGAGGUGAAAGCCCGAAGCUCAACUUCGGAAUUGCCUUUAAAACUGCAAAGCUAGAAUCAUGGAGAGGUGAGUGGAAUUCCGAGUGUAGAGGUGAAAUUCGUAGAUAUUCGGAAGAACACCAGUGGCGAAGGCGACUCACUGGACAUGUAUUGACGCUGAGGUGCGAAAGCGUGGGGAGCAAACAGG